ensembl:lncRNA
AUGGAUUACAAAUCUAUGCUUUUUCUACUCUGUCUCUCUGUGCAGGUAUUGCUGUCUUCUGUGUUCUUCAGUGUCCCAACUGAGACAUUCAAACCUCAUUGCAGAGCUCAUGUCUUUCCUCACCAUCAUGUGAGUGUGAGAUUGCUCUGGAUUCUGGUUAUGUGGCCUGCAGCACCUAUAAGAACAAGCUCGUCCAGUGUGCCUGCAUUCCAGCUUCUUAGACUCUACGCAAGUGGACAGAGUAUCAGUGUUUGGCCACUCUUACAGACACCGACUUCUGUCAACUCACUUCUACUGAUCAGGCACUUCACUCCAAGAAGAUAGAAGGUUGCAAGCCUGUCAUCAUUUCCAGUGUGGCUUUGUAUUCUUGGGGUAGCAUCAGAUUUUUCCCACAAAUAUUCAAAGGUAACACUUGUUUUAAGCUUAGUUAUUAAAUCAAAACACAAGAAGUGGAAUCCUUCACUGCGCACAUUAACGCUGUGGAUAAAAACAUCAAGUUCACCAGGGAGGACACAAAGGACGACAGUUUGCCUUUCCUGGACUGCGCUGUGCACAUGGAAGAGAAUGGCAACCUCAACAUUGAAGUUUAUCGGAAGCCCACACACACGGACCAGUACCUCCUCUUUGACUCCCAUCACCCUCUGGAACACAAACUUGGAGUAAUUAGGACCCUACCCCACCGUGCAGAACAUGUUCCCUCUAAGCCUGAAGGGAAAAAGAAGGAACACACACAUGUAAAGGACGCACUUAAAACAUGUGGCUAUCCUAAUUGGGCGUUUAUAAAGUCAGCAAAGAGGCACAGAAAAGAACAUCAGACACCAGCGAGGGAGGAUAAGAAAGACAGAUGCAACAACAUUGUCAUCCCCUAAGUAGCCGGUGUAUCAGAAAAACUCAGGAGAGUUUUCUCCAAAUACAACAUCCCAGUGUACUUCAGACCCAGUAACACACUCAGACAGAAACUGGUUCACCCGAAAGACAAAACUCCAAAACACAGACUUAACAAUGUGGUGUACGCUGUACAGUGCAGCGAGGAAUGCCCAGACCUCUACAUCGGAGAGACCAAACAGCCACUUCACAAGCGCACGGCACAACAUAGAAGAGCCACCUCCACGGGACAAGACUCAGCAGUUCAUCUGCAUCUAAAGGACAAAGGUCGCUCUUUCGAGGAUGCCAAUGUUCACAUUUUGGACAGAGAGGACAGAUGGUUUGAAAGAGGAGUGAAAGAAGACAUUUACGUCCACUGUGAGCGACCAUCUUUGAACAGAGGCGGUGGUUUAUGACACCAACUGUCUGCCAUCUAUAAUCCAGUUUUGAGAUCCCUUCCCAGACACCUUAACGCCCACUCACAUCCUGGGCCAUCUGACCUAAGGGAAAUCACAUGAUAGGGUGGGGCCAGGUUUCACAAUAAGCUCACCCGAAACCCUGCCUGGUUGGGACCCACACCCACUUUCACACCUUGGCUCAUGUGAUUAGGUAGAGGAUCAUCAGGGGGUCCUUUGUCCCUCUUUGGGGGAAACUCCCACUGGGUUUAAAUCUGGGACUCUCCACCACUGACCCUUAGAAGAAGAAGCUUCUCGGAUGAGAGGUGAAACGUCUUCAAGCAACUCAAAGAAGUCCAGACGCUUUUCUUUCGAAGCUCAUUUGACUUCCCAUGUGUUAAUUACAUUUUAUUUGUUGUUGUUUUCUUUUAUAUUUAUAUGUAGUGAUUGGAUGUGGUGGAGCUUUGUUGUUUAUGUGGAAAACAUCUGUUUGUGAUGAUAUUUACAAUGAGGCUUUAAGGUGACAGUUUCCAUGUUAUUUCAAUCCUUUUACUAAGCAAAAACAUGUUUGCAAUUAACAUAUUUUUUCAGUUUUGUCUUUUGGAUUUAUGGUUAACAUUCCUCUGUGACAGCAAAUACUAAACUGGUCCAAGUAACCAGCAUAUCAUUGGUCAAAGGCAAAAAGGACCACAUGUCACACUAGCAAUGAAUUUUUGACUUUGUUUGUGUUAGUAUAGAGUAGGUCUAACAGUGGUUUUCCACAUCUGCUCUAAUAUAUAUAGAUAAUGGGUCAGACAUAUAAAGUCAUUUUGAAAAGUUCAUAAAGGUCACAUCCAUUUAUAUGUGUUAUAUACCAUAACAUUCAUGCUAAUGGUUCUACUGUUUACAGUUACUUUAUGAUGGAUUUCACCCUGGUCACAGCACUAUGUGAAAAGCUGUUAGAGGUAAAGUUAACCCAAUUAAUACCUCAUCAUAAGUCACUCUCUAACACAGGGUAGUUAUUAUUUUUCACUGUAAUUUAUUCCACAACAAUGUUCUUUAUUUGAUUCUUUAAAUAUGCAUAUCGAUUGUUCAGCUGUGUGUCUCUCCACACCUGAAAUAUAUCACAAUGUGGACUUCAUUUCGACAGUAUUUUGUAGAUUGGUACCAUAUUUAUCAAAUCAU